UACUGGUUAGAUUAAAGUAUACGAUCUAUAUAAAAUACUUUAUAGCUAAUUUUUAAUAUUAUUUAUCUACCAUUCAUGUUUUUAAGUGUAAUCUGUGAAGAGAAUCAGUAUAUAGAUGUAACAUUUUUUCUUACUGAUAUAGAUAUGGUAAUAAUACAGUGAUAAGAGCUUCUUAUGGAGUUAAGAAAGGAGAAUACACCAAGAAAAAUGGAAAGAAAUGAGGUUUUCUUUUUGAAAGAUGUGUACUUGCGUAGAAUUUCUUAAGAAAACCUCACCAAUUGUAUUCUGCUUUUCAAUGAACAUGUAUGCCAAAAAAGAGUCAAGCUGGAGCAACAAGAUUGUCGCCUUCAAAUUAGUCCUGCAAAUACCUCUUCAGAAAAUUAUACUCUCGAUCAUUUAAAUCCAUGGACUCUAUGCUGAACCUCCCGAACCUGCUUUUCCUAAUGGUUGUUCUACACUGCUAGAAAUGUAUUAUUGUUAUGAAGAGAUGCAGUGUACAACGUUUUCUAUUGAUGUAUUCACUUUCGUUUUUAUUAUAAAAUAUGGAGACAAUAGUAUCAUACAUUUAAAAACAAAAAUUUGGAAACAUACAAGAAAUAUGUGCAAGGUACUGGAAAUAUGAACGUCCGGUAGACAUCAGAAAGAAAAUUCUAUAGAAGAAUCAACGAACAAUCGCAGGACUUUAUGCUGUAUAUGUCUAACAAUAAAUUUAUAAUUAAAUGUGUUAAUUGUAU